GAUGAACGCUGGCGGCGUGCCUAAUACAUGCAAGUCGAGCGAAUGGAUUAAGAGCUUGCUCUUAUGAAGUUAGCGGCGGACGGGUGAGUAACACGUGGGUAACCUGCCCAUAAGACUGGGAUAACUCCGGGAAACCGGGGCUAAUACCGGAUAACAUUUUGAACCGCAUGGUUCGAAAUUGAAAGGCGGCUUCGGCUGUCACUUAUGGAUGGACCCGCGUCGCAUUAGCUAGUUGGUGAGGUAACGGCUCACCAAGGCAACGAUGCGUAGCCGACCGGGGAGGGGGAUCGGCACCACUGGGACUGGGACACGGCCCAGACUCCUACGGGAGGCAGCAGUAGGGAAUCUUCCGCAAUGGACGAAAGUCUGACGGAGCAACGCCGCGUGAGUGAUGAAGGCUUUCGGGUCGUAAAACUCUGUUGUUAGGGAAGGACAAGUGCUAGUUGAAUAAGCUGGCACCUUGACGGUACCUAACCAGAAAGCCACGGCUAACUACGUGCCAGCCGCCGCUGUAA
rnacentral:rRNA from 1 species